GCCUGGGUGGCUCAGUCGGUUAAGCUUCUGACUUUGGCUCAGGUCAUGAUCUCACAACUCGUGGGUCCGAGUCCCGCAUCAGGCU
rnacentral:tRNA from 1 species